ACGCUGUGCGGCGUGCCUAAUACAUGCAAGUCGAGCGAACAGAAAAGGAGCUUGCUCCUUUGACGUUUGCGGCGGACGGGUGAGUAACACGUGGGCAACCUACCCUAUAGUUUGGGAUAACUCCGGGAAACCGGGGCUAAUACCGAAUAAUCUCUUUUGCUUCAUGGUGAAAGACUGAAAGACGGUUUCGGCUGUCGCUAUAGGAUGGGCCCGCGGCGCAUUAGCUAGUUGGUGAGGUAACGGCUCACCAAGGCGACGAUGCGUAGCCGACCUGAGAGGGUGAUCGGCCACACUGGGACUGAGACACGGCCCAGACUCCUACGGGAGGCAGCAGUAGGGAAUCUUCCACAAUGGGCGAAAGCCUGAUGGAGCAACGCCGCGUGAGUGAAGAAGGUUUUCGGAUCGUAAAACUCUGUUGUAAGGGAAGAACAAGUACAGUAGUAACUGGCUGUACCUUGACGGUACCUUAUUAGAAAGCCACGGCUAACUACGUGCCAGCAGCCGCGGUAAUACGUAGGUGGCAAGCGUUGUCCGGAAUUAUUGGGCGUAAAGCGCGCGCAGGCGGUCCUUUAAGUCUGAUGUGAAAGCCCACGGCUCAACCGUGGAGGGUCAUUGGAAACUGGGGGACUUGAGUGCAGAAGAGGAAAGUGGAAUUCCAAGUGUAGCGGUGAAAUGCGUAGAGAUUUGGAGGAACACCAGUGG
rnacentral:rRNA from 1 species